rnacentral:rRNA from 1 species
GACGAACGCUGGCGGCGUGCUUAACACAUGCAAGUCGAACGGAAAGGCCCUGCUUUUGUGGGGUGCUCGAGUGGCGAACGGGUGAGUAACACGUGAGUAACCUGCCCUUGACUUUGGGAUAACUUCAGGAAACUGGGGCUAAUACCGGAUAGGAGCUCCUGCUGCAUGGUGGGGGUUGGAAAGUUUCGGCGGUUGGGGAUGGACGCGCGGCUUACCAGCUUGUUGGUGGGGUAGUGGCUUACCAAGGGUUUGACGGGUAGCCGGCCUGGGAGGGUGACCGGCCACAUUGGGCCUGCGAGACGGCCCAGACUCCUACGGGAGGCAGAAGUGGGGAAUAUUGCACAACGGGCGGAAGCCUGAGGCAGCAACGCCGCGUUCGGGAUGACGGCCUUCGGGUUGUAAACCGCUUUCGCCUGUGACGAAGCGUGAGUGACGGUAAUGGGUAAAGAAGCACCGGCUAACUACGUG